UGGGGUUGACAUGCAAAAGAAACUUGUUUCUAGUUUAAAAUUGGUCUAAUUACAAUUAUAAAAAUAAAAUAAAAAAUAAAGAUAAAUACCAGAUUCAAGGCAAUGGCAGCUAGAGGUGGGUUAUGGCCAUGGAUGUUGUUCCUAAACCUGAGUCUGUUGUUACUCGUAGAAUAUCGUCAGGUGACUGGAUGGCACACACUUCAUGCUUAUUUAAAAAUAUCUUUUAAUGUCAGGCUGGAGGGAUGGCUCAGCCGUUAAAGGCUAGGCUCACAACCAAAAAUAUCUUUUAAUGUCACCCCUAGUUGUCAACUACAUUGUGGUCAUGACUUGCUUUGAAUCUGGAAGGAGAGGGGAGAAUCUGAGAGCUAUAGUCUUGGGAACCCUGUCAGAGUGAAGGAGUUGGCAACACGAAGGGCACAUGGUCACUGGCUUCCCUGUCCUCUUUUGGAGUCACACUCCACUGUACAGAGCCUUGGGAGCCUCUGCCCAGAUGGUGUUGAUCCACUUCUAGGGCUGGUAUUUGGAACAUACCUCUCUGCAAUGUACUCUCCAGUGUGACCAGUGACAAAAGAAGGCAUGUAUUUGUGGGGCCUAUGGACCUGGCAAAAGAAGUGUCCAACAGGUGAGCUUCUCAUGGCGUGGUACAGAAUAGAAAGGAUGGACCAUGAGCCACCACAUCAUGAGGGAGACAAAGAAUUCUGAGAAGUCCUCAGUUGGAAAUGACUUUUCCAAGUCGAUGUGAAGUCCAAGAUCCCAGCCCAUAGGGUGUUGCCACCCACAAUUAGGGUAAUUGGAGGCUUUGAAGUUGAUCAAAGUGAAUUCUUUCACCAAGGAGCUGAGAACAGCCAUGGUUCAGUAAGUGAUUUGAAUGUCACAUAACAAGAAGAGAGCAUAUAAAGCCACCAGGAGAUGUUUCUUAGCUUUCCACUGUUAAGAGUUCCAGGAGACAGCAUCUACCAAGGCGGAAGGUCCCUCUCAGACUGUGGAUCCCAGGAAUUGCUCUGCUAGUCCACACUCAGCUCUAGCAAUUUAUCAAAGUGCUAUUUAAGUGGUUUCUUCUAGCUUGUACCUUGGGUGACUUCUGUUUCAAACAUGCAGAUCUAUGCUGUGCAUCAGGAAAUCUGAAACACCUAGGAAUGAAGUUAAUAAAGAUACACAAGACUGCUACCCUGACAGCUAUAAAACACUGUAGAGAGGAAUUGGGUAACACCUAAAUAAAUGGAGAGCCACACCAUGGUCAUAGAUUGGAAACUUCAAUAUCACGAAGAUAUCAAUUAUGUCGGUUCCUGUGACUGUCGUGACAAAUCACCACAAGCUUAGAGGUUUGAAAUAACACAAAUUUAUUUUCUUACAGCUCUGUAGGUUGGAAUUCUGAUCUGGGCCUCAUCAGAUCAGGACUACAUUCCUUUUGUGGCUCUGAGGAAGAAUCAGUUUCCUUACCUUUCCCAGCUCCCAUAGACCACCCACUCAUUCUCUUUCACAAGUACCUAUCCACCUUCAAAGACAGUGACAGCUUGCCAAGUUCCUUUUGCAUUGUAUCAUUCUGACUGCCUCUUUUCUCACCUUCUUCUACAUUUAAGGAACCUAAAUGUCAACCCUGAGCCCAACCAGAUGAGCCAGGUCAACCACCAUGUUUCAAAGCUGUCUGAGUAACAAGCUGAUUUUGCUCUUUGCCAUAUACUCUAGCAUAUUUAUAAAUCUAAGAAUUAGGGCAUGGAUAGCUUUACAGAAGGAAGGAGAAAAAUCAGUUCCACUUUCCUAAAUGGUAUACAGAUUUAAUGUAAUUUCAUCACAAGAUACCAGCAUGUCUUGUGUAGAAAGAAUGUUAAACAUUUUAGAAUAAUAGAUGACAGAAUCUUUUAAAGGAUCCUAAACUGACAAAUUUACACUAUUUGAUUAUAAAAUUGUUUAUAAAGCCAGAGUUAUCAAGACAAUGAGUAUUACUUUCAGAAUAGACUGAGUGAUCAAUAAAUGGUGUUGGAACAUCUGAAUACAUGUAUAUAGAAAAAUACUGAACCAUGAUGAACACCUCACAACAUAUUCAAAACCAACAGAAGACUUACAUACUUACAAAGGAAAGAAUAGAGGUUUGGGGAGAUGGCUCAAGUAGGUAGAGGAUCCUCUGUGCAAGCAUGAAGACAUGCCUGAGUUGGGAACUGGAGCACCCACAUUAAAAAGGGGGUGGGGCAGGCUGCAUGCAUUCAUGCAUCUGUAAACCUAUCGGGCAGGACAGAGACCAAUGGAUGGAUCCUGAGACUCACUGGCCAGCAAGUUUCACCCAAACAGCAUCCUCUUGGUUCAGUAAUACCCUCUGGGAAAAGUGGGGUAAACAGCAAUAGGAAAAAGAUAUCAAUGUCAACCUCUAGCUUCCACACAGGCAAGCAUACUGGUGUGUGUGUGUGUGUGUGUGUGUGUGUGUGUGUGUGUGAGAGAGAGAGAGAGAGAGAGAGAGAGAGAGAGAGAGAGAGAGAGAGAGACAGAGACAGAGAGACAGAGAGAGACAGAGAGAGAGACAGAGAGACAGAGACAGAGACAAACUACAGAAACAGAAAGGGAAAAACUAGGCUAUUAAAUUUCUAGAAAAAAAAACUACAGAGGCAUAUCUUUGUGACCUUGGGAAUUGUCUUAGGAUACAAAAACUGUCAUGUAUAAGGGAAAAUGAUAAACUGGAAUCAAUUUUCAGUCUGCUUAUCAAAAACCUCAUGAUGAGGUUGGAGUUACAGCUCAGGGAACUCGUUCAAGCACAUGUACAAAGGGUGAAGAGGAAGAGCUAAAACAUAGACCUGGAGAAAAUCUUUGAAUUAUACAUAUUCAACCAUCAUGGAUACAUUGUGCACUCACAGACUUCUUUCAGACAUUCAUGUUUGUAACAUAUAUCAGAUAUUUAUUUCUUUAUUAAAUUUAAGUAAAUAUCCUUUUAA